CCUUAACCCAAUUUUAUUAUUAUUCUUUAAGUAAACCCUAAAAAAUUUUUAAGAUUGUUGUGAAUUUAUAUCUUUUUUGGGGAUAGUCUCUAUAAAUAGUGAGUAUAAACCGGGGUUAGUAGCCCGCUAUUCACCUCCCAGCAAAAAGAGAGGAUUAAAAGAUAAAUCUUUAAACAUAAAAAACAUGGCAGUAUUUUACCCCCUGCAGAGGAGCUUGAAUCAUAAUUGAUACUCCUCGUUUGUACUCUCUUAACUUUGUUUUAUGUGUGGUUGUUUAAAUUUAUUUUAAAUCACAUAUUUUAAUUCAGAUAACAUGUAGAGAUAGUUAAGUGUAUUUUAGCUACAAAUAUUAGUUUUAAAGGAUUUGCAAGUAAAGUGGAGCAUCUUGACGGGGCUAUAAGAUAUGUUCAUAUUGUCCGUCACUCUCCGAGAG
rnacentral:rRNA from 1 species